CAGACUUUUGGCCCCGAUCUGGCGUGGGGGGCGUGGCAUCAACUGAGAGGGGCGUGACAUCAUGUGUGACAGCAGAACAGAGAAGGCGGGGGACCUUCCUCAGUCAUGUUGCCUUCAGGAAACGUAGGAGGAGGUCCAGGGUCCUGAGGGCCAGCCAGGAUUUCAGCAUGUCCUGAAGCUGCCAGGGCCCUGGUGGAAGCCAGGUGUCUCCAGGGGCUCGGAGAGAGACGGGUAGACAGACUCAUCGUGCUCUGGCAACGCCUGCCAGAGCGCGAUGAGCAGAGAGUCGUCUACCCGUCCAGACACCAGGACAGACGGUCCAAGGGUUCAAGGCAGCAAAGGGGAAGAACACUUCCUGUCCUGGAAAGGAAAGUCUCCAGCGCUGCCUACUCCGACUCAUUCCUGCAGACGGGCCAGAUGCAGCCACCUGGUGGAGGCCGUUUGCAGGUUUUUACCCUGACUGGACUCCGAGACGGUAUUUUUUACUGUGAACUGGACUGGUUUUUCCCGUUUUUUACGCUGAAUUGAAGUCCCUGACCGCGUCUCCCUGAUGGCCGGUGCUGUGGGUGACCUGACGCGGGCUCCGGUACCGUUCGGCCGGCAGGCCGUCCCCCAGCUGUUCCUGUCGCUGCAGGAGCCGCACACCGAGGACAGUCUGGGCGUCCUGGCUUCAUUCUGCGACGUCCUGCGCGAUCCUCCUUCACAGUCCGUCAACAGGCCACACUCACAUUGGGGGCGUCUUACUGCCAAGUCUGUGGCGGAUUGGAAGGAGGAGAUAAAAGGACGAAAACAAAAAGGUUUUGUAUAUAAAUGUAUAUAGUUCUUUUAUAAUUUAUAUAUAGUUUGUUUUUAUUUUGUAUAUACAUGUAUAUAUUUGUUUUUCAUGUGUGUAUUGUUUUUCUUUUUGUAUGAAUAAAUGUGGCUUGUUUCUCUUUCAACUUUGAAGCUUUGUCUCGUUCCUUGUUAAAUUAUACAUAUAUAGUUUGAUUAUCCACUUGAAAUGAUUGUUAAUUAUAUGACUGGAACAGAUUAGAUCCCAUUGGAAAAAACCCUCAGGGCAUACCUUUAAUUAUUAAUAAAUAACAAGAAGAACUGGAGUAAGUAGCCAAAACAAGAAGGCAACAAAACCAAAUGACCAGG